UACCAGCACCCCGAGUGGUCGGGACGAUUAUUGGGCCUAAAGCAUCCGUAGCCGGUUCUACAAGUCUUCCGUUAAAUCCACCUGCUUAACAGAUGGGCUGCGGAGGAUACUAUGGAGCUAGGAGGCGGGAGAGGCAAGCGGUACUUAGUGGGUAGGGGUAAAAUCCGUUGAUCCAUUGAAGACCACCAGUGGCGAAGGCGGCUUGCCAGAACGCACUCGACGGUGAGGGAUGAAAGCU
rnacentral:rRNA from 1 species